rnacentral:rRNA from 1 species
AUUGAACGCUGGCGGCAGGCCUAACACAUGCAAGUCGAGCGGAGCGGCGGACGGGGGAGUAAUGCCUAGGAAUCUGACUGGGAGUUGGGGAUAACGUCCGGAAACGGGCGAUAAUACCGCAUAAUAUCAGAUGAGCCUCUGUCGGAUUAGCUAGUUGGUGGGGUAACGGCCUACCAAGGCGACGAGCCGUAACGGGUCUGAGAGGAUGAUCAGUCAAACUGGAACGGAGACACGGUCCAGACUCCUACGGGAGGCAGCAGUGGGGAAUAUUGCACAAUGGGAGAAAGCCUGAGGCAGCCAUGCCGCGUGUAUGAAGAAGGCCUUCGGGUUGUAAAGUACUUUCAGCGGGGAGGCGUUACCCGCAGAAGAAGCACCGGCUAACUCCGUGCCAGCAGCCGCGGUAAUUC